UACAGAGGGUGCGAGCGUUAAUCGGAAUUACUGGGCGUAAAGCGCACGUAGGCGGCUUGGUAUGUCGGGUGUGAAAUCCCCGGGCUCAACCUGGGAACUGCAUCCGAAGCUGCCUUGCUCGAGUAUGGGAGAGGGAAGUGGAAUUUCCGGUGUAGCGGUGAAAUGCGUAGAUAUCGGAAGGAACAUCAGUGGCGAAGGCGACUUCCUGGACCAAUACUGACGCUCAGGUGCGAAAGCAUGGGGAGCAAACAGG
rnacentral:rRNA from 1 species